UAAUUGAAAAUAAAAUUAAACAUUCCCGCUUCUAUCUUGGCUCGCUGUCUCCCCUUUCCCGCUACUCAUUCCAGCCCUAAUAUUCCCACCAAAGAAAUCGACCAGCCGAUGAGUAGGCGACGACGAAGAUAGAGGCCAGAAGCUGCGUUCCAGACGGUGGUUUCAGGCGGCGCUUCAAACUGUGAAACCGAUUGUAUAGAGAAUUUGCCAAAACUUGUGGAGGAUAUCGUCCAGACAUCUAUCAACACAGGUCCUCGUGGAGCUUUACGACUGGCCCAAGGUAUUCAAGCAGUCAUUGGUGUUGGUGGCGAGUGGCUAACUGAAUUAUCACAGUCACGGAAUUCACCUAGCAAAAUACCAUCACUGCUUCAGCUUGGAUUGCUAUCACCUGUUUAGCUCAGGAAAUUACUCGAACGUAUGGGUGCUACCUAUAUCAAGUUAGGUCAGCAUUGGAACACCGAAAAAUGGCAAAAAAAAUCAAUAGCCGGGAGAGCAAACCGCAAAUAUGACUUGUGUCGUCAUACAGGCGGGUCAAUAUGAUUUGGUCAGCAUCGUAUCAACUUGGACAAAAGAGGGUAAAACAGUUGGAUACAAGAAAGUAUUGUUACAGACCCACGCCACUAAGAGGUGCAAAAAAAUGUUACAAGAUAGGGAGAUAAGUGAAAAUGAUUUUGAUUCGUUGGAGUUUUUUACCUACCGUGCAAAGCGUUUAUAUGUCGCGUACUCGCAAUAACUUAAAGACUUGUAUGGGAGCGGAAUUAGAAAGAGAACGAGAGGCUCGACAAAACAUAGAAGCCCGUUUCGAACAAUUUCAACAAGAGUGUGAAAAAGAGCGGGCCGACCAAGACGCAUGGCGAAAAAAUAUGGAAGAAAUGGUGAAAAACAUCGGAAAGAAGUAAACAAAACUCUCGUUUUGUUAAGUAUUGGAAUGGUGAAUUAGUUUUGAAUAAAAAACUUGCUCUUGAUUAGGAUUUUUUGUGUGUUUUGAAAUGUUUUCGAACUUUUGGAAGGUUUUAGAAGUUGCAGUUGUUUUGGAAUUA